GAUGAACGCUGGCGGCGUGCCUAAUACAUGCAAGUCGAGCGAACGGACGAGGAGCUUGCUCCUUUGACGUUAGCGGCGGACGGGUGAGUAACACGUGGAUAACCUACCUAUAAGACUGGGAUAACUUCGGGAAACCGGAGCUAAUACCGGAUAAUAUAUUGAACCGCAUGGUUCAAUAGUGAAAGACGGUUUUGCUGUCACUUAUAGAUGGAUCCGCGCCGCAUUAGCUAGUUGGUAAGGUAACGGCUUACCAAGGCAACGAUGCGUAGCCGACCUGAGAGGGUGAACGGCCACACUGGAACUGAGACACGGUCCAGACUCCUACGGGAGGCAGCAGUAGGGAAUCUUCCGCAAUGGGCGAAAGCCUGACGGAGCAACGCCGCGUGAGUGAUGAAGGUCUUCGGAUCGUAAAACUCUGUUAUUAGGGAAGAACAAAUGUGUAAGUAACUAUGCACGUCUUGACGGUACCUAAUCAGAAAGCCACGGCUAACUACGUG
rnacentral:rRNA from 1 species